rnacentral:rRNA from 1 species
UUUUUCCUACGGGAGGCAGCAGUGGGGAAUAUUGGGCAAUGGGCGCAAGCCUGACCCAGCAACGCCGCGUGAAGGAAGAAGGCUUUCGGGUUGUAAACUUCUUUUCUCAGGGACGAAGAAAGUGACGGUACCUGAGGAAUAAGCCACGGCUAACUACGUGCCAGCAGCCGCGGUAAUACGUAGGUGGCAAGCGUUAUCCGGGUUUAUUGGGCGUAAAGGGCGUGUAGGCGGGAGCGCAAGCCAGAC